GGCCGCCUGGCGAAAUGGCAUCGCGUCUGACUACGAUAUACAAGCUCUUCCAUUUGUAAUCGGUCAUCAGGAGAUUGCAGGUUCGACCCCUGCGGUGGUCA